rnacentral:lncRNA from 1 species
UGCCAGAAGGGGCUGAAGGGUGUGGAACUGCUCUCACAGAGCAGCUCUUGAGGUGGCCGAGAAACUCCCCGGAGGGUGAACGCCCCCAGCCCCAGUACGAGAUUUAAGAGGCAAAUUCAGGCCCGCGUCUUCCCUGGAGGCUGCUCUGAACCCUCCACCUGGAAGUGACCUGUCCCGCUGAUGUCUCAGAGCACUUUCUCCACCCUCUCUUGCCAUUGGCUACUCGCAGGCUCAUCUUAGGCGUUCACGUGUGCUUCGAUUUUCUCUUGCCACCAGCAAGCUCCAUGUCAGAGCACAUCCAAUGCCGUGGGAACCCUACUCAGUGGACUGCACAGUGCCCAGCAACCCGAGACCCUGCGCAAGCAUGUUCCAUACAAGGGGCGUGCGCCUGACAUCCGGGCAUCGCAGGGCCCAUGCGGGAAGCAGGAUGGGGCAAGGGCUCUUUGGGACUCCCCUGUAGUGGGCAGUAGGGACAGAGUGUGACACAUGGGCUUUAGAGGCAGAUAGACUUGGUUCACAUCCAACUCUGCCUUUCACUUGGGGAAGCUACAUAACCUCUCUGAGCCUCAGUUUUCUUGAUGCAAAAUGGGUGACUGUGAGGAUUAAACGAGAUGAGGUAUGCCGACCCCACAGCACUCCAUUAGCCUGCGGUAAAUUGCCAGUGGCCUGAACCACACUUCUUUCCUGACUGAAAGCAAGAGUUUUCUCCCAUCUGCUAGUCCCCCUCCCAGAGGACUGACCACGAAUCUCCCAUCAGGGAGCUAGGAGAUCACGUCCGUAGGAGACAGAGAGACAGACGGAUGCAGGAAGAAGCCCCAGAGGUGAGGAUAGGAGUGGGGAUCUGCGGACACAGCUGAGGGGUCAGCACCCCGGCAGGCAUCUGAGUGACCCACCUGGACCUAGAGUUUGCCUAUGUGCUACACUACCUGCCUCACCCAGCUGAGCCUUUAGAAUCCAAAGGCUUUAAUAUUUGGAGAAAAACUGUGAAGGCUUAAGAUGUCAGUGGUGCUACCGGCUUUGUGAUCUGAACAAAUAACAGGGCAAAGUCUCAACACCAAGGCAGUGCCACAAGGAAAUACUCAGUGUCUACCAUGUGCCAGGUGUUGGACAUCCCCUGUGAAGAGCUUUAGCUGGGAACUUCCUGCAAACCUUCCAGGGGCAUUCACAGAGUGGAAAUCAAUUCCUCGUAGCUUACUCUGCGAUGAGCUCGAUACAGUUUGUUUUAGCUCCAUGGCUGUGUGGGGAUCCCACGUGGGAGGUGGAGACACACAAAGCCCAGACCCUGAAACUCAGUCGCAGUGAGGACUGCGCCUGGACGCCAGAAAGACCAGAGAACGGAAGCAUCCGAAUCACCUUUCCCACCUCCAGAGAUGCAAUCACCAAUCUCCCUAAGCCAGACCAAGCCUCACCACAAGAGCUGUGCCUAUGACCUUUGCCUCCUUUUUAAUGCUAAAGCUCUCCAGGAGGAACUUACACCUUAUUACCAUCACCUGCAGUGUAUUUGGAAGCACGUUUUCCAACUGAGCAUGCACAAGUGAAUACCCACCUCUUCCUUUUGAAUAUUCAUUCCCCAUCCAAAAUAAAAGGUCCCUGCUUC